CCUGCCUUAGCCUCCCGAGUAGCUGGGACUCCAUGUGUGUGCCACCAUGCCCAGCUAAUUUUUUUAUUUUUAGUAGAGUUGGGAUUUCACCAUGUUGGCUAGCCUGGUCUUGAACUCCUGGCCUCAAGUGACCUGCAUGCCUUGGCCUCCCAAUUGCUGGGAUUACAGGUAUGAGCCACCACACCCGGCCAUGAGGGUGUUUUAAUCCUUUUUUGUGUAUACUUAUAGUGUAAGUCAUUGUGAAGGAAAGGGAAACAAAAAGAAAAAUGAAGGACUUAGUGCCCCAAAGUUAAUGUUUUAUCUGAGUAUAGUUUUCGGUAUACUAGCUAUAUGUAUCAACUUGUUGAUGCUUUAGUUUCCUCAUCUAUAAAUGGGACUCAUAAAUACAAUAGUCCCCACCUCAUUGGAUUAUUGUGAGCUAUAAUUAGGUAAGAAAUGAAAAUGCUUCAAAG
rnacentral:lncRNA from 1 species